rnacentral:rRNA from 1 species
GACGAACGCUGGCGGCGUGCCUAAUACAUGCAAGUCGAGCGCAGUGGGGACUGGUGAGUAACCCGUGGGUAACCUCCCAUCAGAGGGGAUAACACUUUGAAACAGGUGCUAAACCGAUACUGAUAGAUGGUCCCGCGGUGCAUUAGCUACUUGGUGAGGUAACGGCUCACCAAGGCAACGAUCCAUAGCCGACCUGAGAGGGUGAUCGGACACACUGGGACUGAGACACGGCCCAGACUACUACGGGAGGCAGCAGUAGGGAAUUUUCGGCAAUGGGCGAAAGUCUGAUCGAGCAACGCCGCGUGAGUGAAGAAGGUUUUCGGAUCGUAAAACUCUGUUGUUAGAGAAGCGGUAUCUAACCAGAAAGCCACGGCUAACUACGUGCCAGCAGCCGCGGUAAUUC